CCCACUGCAUGUGUAGAAUGUCUUACUAUUUGCCAUAACACGCAAUUAAUACAACUUUCAACAACGGAUCUCUUGGCUCUCGCAUCGAUGAAGAACGCAGCGAAAUGCGAUACGUAAUGUGAAUUGCAGAAUUCAGUGAAUCAUCGAAUCUUUGAACGCACCUUGCGCCCCUUGGAAUUCCGAGGGGCACACCCGUUUGAGUGUCGUGAAUAUCCUUCAACCUUUCUUGGUUUCUCGAUCAAGGAAGGCUUGGACUUUGGGGGUUUUUGCCGGCCUCUCUUGAAGCCAGCUCCUCCUAAAUGGAUUAGUGGGGUCUGCUUUGCUGAUCCUUGACGUGAUAAUAUCCUUCUACGUCUUGGGUUUCGCACUUUGGACUCUGCUUCUAACCGUUGUUGCAUCAUGAACCUUGACCUCAAAUCGGGUGGGACUACCCGCUGAACUUAAGCAUAUCAAUAAGCGGAGGAAAAGAAACUAACAAGGAUUCCCCUAGUAACUGCGAGUGAAGCGGGAAAAGCUCAAAUUU
rnacentral:rRNA from 1 species